rnacentral:lncRNA from 1 species
GGACAACUGAGGAGGAGAGGAAAAAAAGAGGAAGUUAAAUGUAGUAUUUUUUUCCUCUGCAUUUUCAUUUUUAAAAAAUGUUGCAGAAUUUUAUUAAAAUAUGGAAAAUUAUUUUUUAAAAACUAUUAUUUCACUUAAAUUACAGAAAUAACAGAAAGUGGGUAGAGAAACUUCUCUUCACCUUCAGUUCCAACACUGUAAAUCUUCACUACAGAAUUAACUACAGUUAAGAGAAACAGGCAGAAUGUCUACAUGUGUGCACCCAUGACGACAUCUUUCACAAGAGGGCACUGGUACACAGGAUGAUGGCAUGACUAUGAGUGAAUGGACCCCAGAGCAACAGAAAGAAGACUUCCUGGAUCUCAAGGCUGCCACAGCUAUCAUGGAGUCCAGCUUGCUCAACCAGAGAAACCUGUAUCAGUGAAGUCAUCAGAGUCUCUCAAAGCUAACUGAUCUUCUCUGGAAUGUGGGAAUCUUCAAUAGUCAGCCUUCUAGAAAACACCAUUAUCUGGGUCAUUUGCUCUUCAUGGUCAC